UCUAUAUUUUUUCAGUCUUCUUAGUUUCACCGGGAACGUUGCAUCUGACGCCUCUAUUGCAACGACAUUUGUUUAAAUUAUUCUUCCUCCCUUUUUUUUAGUGAUAAGUGAUAACCAAUUACAAAGGGGUUACCAAUUAUUCUUGUUUGUUAGAUUGAACUUACUUGCUGGUUGUUAAGAUUUUUUUCACCUCCCUCGUGAAUAUGCGACCAAUUUUGAUUUUGAUUUUGAUUUUGAUUUUGAUGAUAUUGAACUGGGUGGUGGUCAGUUUUGGCUGGAAAGUGGAAACAGACAUGGAGACUUAUCUGGUCAUGCAACAUUUCUUCCGUAAUCUCCAUGAUCGGCUCAGUUCAAGGCCUUUUCUUAGCCUAAUUGAGAAGAAGUGGCUUGCUUUUCAGAGAACAAUGGACAUCAGAAAAACUACGACCGAUGAUCCGAAACUCUUUUGAGCUGCGGCUGGUAAACAAGUCAUUUUAAAGAGUGCAGACAUGACUGAUAACAUGCAAAAAAGAAGCUAUCGACAUUGCCAUCGCUGGGUUCAAGAUGAAGAUUUAGUUUCUUUUGUGAAAAAAUGGCAGAAGGGUGGGGCUUUUCUAUUUGGCGGUUGUUGUAGAACUACGGAAAAGACGAUAAAUGACAUUUACCCAACUCUCUCAGAGCAUUCAGAAUCUCCGCGUUAACAAGUCAUUCACACUUUUGUCUUGUAAAUGACUAAUUAGGAAAUAUGAUCUAUGCUUGUGUACUGUUGUUGCCUUCAUUAAUUGAUACAAAUUUGUUUACUGAAGGGACCUUCUCAUUUUCUGUAACCUAUAAAUAAAGCAUUUGGAUAUCUGCACAAAGACGAGCUUUGCAUACAAAAAAAGCACAAGUACUCCGGUUUACAACCAUUAGCCGU